AGCUGCGCCUGGACGCUCCGUCCUCGAUGGAAGGAAGCCCUUGUGGCGCCUGAGCCCGGGGCAAAGGCGACACAGCGCGGAGCUGGAGCCACCUGGCCGGAGAGGCAGCGACCCUCAACUGAAGCUCGCGUGGAGAUUGGGGUCGUGUGCGCAGCCGUCGCCGAGAGCCGGCCCGGGGUCUUCGGCGCCUGGGGGUGGGGGGCGUGAUGACUAACAGUGCAACUGUCGCGCCCGGCGGCGGCCACGCUUAGUGCUUAAAAAUGGUAGAGAGAAUCAAUUUCUGCUCGCAGACCAGAGUGACCCUCCUGCCCGCUGAGGGUGGGAUCUUCUAAUGGCAGUUGGGAGGGCUCGGCCUGAGGUUUGUAUGCACCCCGGGAGGAAGCGCCUCCCUGAGUCAGAGGCCGUGACCUUCUGCUGCGUCCCUGGGGAACCCCCGCCUGCUCCCUGCCACCCACCCGCAGCAGCUCUGUGGACAGAGGCUGCUUCUGUGAGGUGACAUUGUUUGGUGAGCUUGCUGCAUGGGCGCUGGGAGGGACAGCCGCCAGAGAUCCAUAGGGCGACCCUCGCCACCUCUUUUUGGCUAUAACUUUCCCCCAAUGACUGAGCCCGAGACCAAUACCUUCAGCAGCCCCAGACUUCACUUUUCCUGCAAUCAGAUGUGGUGUGGGGUCCUUGCUGUCCCAUAGCACUGGCCUUAUUGCAGUGAUCUAUCACUAAGUGUUUUUUUCCAGUGACCCAUGGUCCCUUCUUGACCAGAUGAUUGACAUCAGGACUGGAGGUCUUCAGAGUUUGGGCUUCUCAGCAGCGUUCCCCUGUCCGCUCCACCCACGUGCCAUGUAGACAGCAGGUGUCGGUGAAGACAGGUUCUUCUCUCCCAGGUUGAUGGCCUGGUGCUGCUGGCACAGGAUGGAGGGCAGCCCCAGCUGUGGCCAGCCCCAGCUGUGGCCCGCUCUCUGCAGUCUGGUUCUUGGUGGUCAGGC
rnacentral:lncRNA from 1 species